AACGAACGCUGGCGGCAUGCCUAACACAUGCAAGUCGAACGAUCCCUUCGGGGAUAGUGGCGCACGGGUGCGUAACGCGUGGGAACCUGCCCUUAGGUUCGGAAUAACUCAGAGAAAUUUGAGCUAAUACCGGAUAAUGUCUUCGGACCAAAGAUUUAUCGCCUUUGGAUGGGCCCGCGUUGGAUUAGCUAGUUGGUGGGGUAAAGGCCUACCAAGGCGACGAUCCAUAGCUGGUCUGAGAGGAUGAUCAGCCACACUGGGACUGAGACACGGCCCAGACUCCUACGGGAGGCAGGAGUGGGGAAUAUUGGACAAUGGGCGAAAGCCUGAUCCAGCAAUGCCGCGUGAGUGAUGAAGGCCUUAGGGUUGUAAAGCUCUUUUACCCGGGAUGAUAAUGACAGUACCGGGAGAAUAAGCCCCGGCUAACUCCGUG
rnacentral:rRNA from 1 species